AUUGCCCACAGCCGGAUCCACGGUGACUAAUCUCCGGGAAGGCGUCCAGCGUGAGCCGUGAGGCCUGCACCUGCGCCGGACUUCACCACUCACCAGGAGUCUCUGCCCGCCGCCCCCAGCGCGGUUCUCUUCCCUGCUAGACGUAAAGUCCUGGGGACAAGCACAGCCCAGGGCACUUUCUGGAGAGAAGAUUUCGAUGGGGAAAGAUAAGAGAGCAUUUGGAUAUCUACGCACUGUCAACAGAAAUGAGGCUUCAGGCCAAGGCUUCUAAAAUGCAGGAUUCCCAAAGUGGCAGUCACAUAAGACGGGUCCCUCCAUCGCCUUCUAGAAUAUUGAGAAGAUCAUCACGCCUGGGACUGGCUCACAGCACUGAUCUUUUUCUUGUUAGCAGAGACUCCAGGAAGCAGAUGAGCAGACCUAUGGGCCUGCUAUGUGCACCGCGGCCCACACUGCCGCCUGCCUGGGAUCCUGCAUCACCCGAGUCUUCCUGCGGACCACCCUGGGUGGUGCACAUGCGGUCAUCAUUGUGCAAAGGAAGCUUUAGUUCUAUAAUGAAAGCCCCUUUAGUAAGUGAUGCUCCUUGAAGACUCGGUCAGCGUCUCGUUCACCUCUUUAUCCCCAGACUUAGCACAAUUCCAGCCCCAAAUCGGCAACGGACCUUUGACCAAGUGACAUGUCAGUGCUUCAGGGAGCUUCACUGAUCAGGACAGAAGUGAGUGACUGGAGGAAGGUGACCCGGAUGUCUGUAACCCCCAGAAAGGGUGAGAUGGCUGUUUUAUCAGCCAGCAUUGCCGAGUUGGUGGUGUGACGACAUCCUGUCUGACUGCUGGGCCUUACCGGUGUGUUCUCUGCUGGAGCCGUGACAGUUUGAGUUGAGGACAUUUUACAUCAAUCACUGAACUGCACGAAAGAUGGAAAUCCAGCAAGGGACCCCGUCGGACCUGAUUGACCGCAGAGCUACCUUUUGCUCUUUCUGGAUGCCACACGGCCUCCUCCUCCCACCUGUCCUUGGAGCUUGUGUUGGUCCACUUUCAUGCUGCUGAUAAAGCCAUACCUGAGACUGGGUAAUUUAUAAAGAAAAAGAGGUUGAAUGGACUCACAGUUCCACGUGGCUGGGGAGGCCUCACAAUCACGGCGGAAGUUGAAAGGCACGUCUUACAUGGCGGCAGGCAAGAGAGAAUGAGAGCCAAGCAAAGGGGGUUUCCCCUUAUAGAACCAUCAGAUCAGCUGGGCGCAGUGGCUCACUCCUGUAAUCCCAGCACUUUGGGAUGCUGAGGUGGGAGGAUCACAAGGUCAGGAGUUUGAGACCAGCCUGACCAAUAUGGUGAAACCCCAUCUCUACUAAAAAUACAAAAAUUAUCUGGGCAUGGUGGUGGGCACCUGUAGUCCCAGCUACUCGGGAGGCUGAGGCAGGAGAAUCGCUUGAACCUGGGAGGCGGAGGUUGCAGUGAGCUGAGAUUGUGCCACUGCACUCUAGCCUGGGCAACAAAGCGAGACGCUGUCUCAAAAAAACAAAAACAAAAACAAAAAAAACCAUCAGAUCUCAUGAGACUUAUUCACUACCAUGAGAACAGUAUGGGGGAAACCACCCUCAUGAUUCAAUUAUCUCUUGCUGGGUCCCUCCCUCAACACAUGGGAAUU
rnacentral:lncRNA from 1 species